rnacentral:rRNA from 1 species
UACAGAGGGGGCAAGCGUUGUUCGGAAUUACUGGGCGUAAAGGGCGCGUAGGCGGCCUGCUAAGUCGAACGUGAAAUCCCCGGGCUUAACCUGGGAACUGCAUUUGUGACUGCAUGGCUGGAGUGCGGCAGAGGGGGAUGGAAUUCCGCGUGUAGCAGUGAAAUGCGUAGAUAUCUGGAGGAAUACCGGUGGCGAAGGCGGCAUCCUGGACCGACAUUGACGCUGAACGGCGAAAGCUAGGGGAGCAAACGGG